CACGUAGGGUGCGAGUGUUGUCCGGAAUUAUUGGGCGUAAAGAGCUCGUAGGCGGUGUGUCGCGUCGGCCGUGAAAACCUGCAGCUUAACUGUGGGCUUGCGGUCGAUACGGGCAUCACUGGAGUUCGGCAGGGGAGACUGGAAUUCCUGGUGUAGCGGUGAAAUGCGCAGAUAUCAGGAGGAACACCGGUGGCGAAGGCGGGUCUCUGGGCCGAUACUGACGCUGAGGAGCGAAAGCGUGGGGAGCGAACAGG
rnacentral:rRNA from 1 species